rnacentral:rRNA from 1 species
UACGUAGGGGGCAAGCGUUGUCCGGAAUCAUUGGGCGUAAAGAGCGUGUAGGCGGCCAGAUAAGUCCGCUGUGAAAUCUCGAGGCUCAACUUCGAGCUGUCGGUGGAAACUGUCUGGCUAGAGUCCGGAAGAGGAGAAUGGAAUUCCUGGUGUAGCGGUGAAAUGCGCAGAUAUCAGGAAGAACACCCGUGGCGAAGGCGGUUCUCUGGAACGGUACUGACGCUGAGACGCGAAAGCGUGGGGAGCGAACAGG